UACGUAGGGCGCAAGCGUUGUCCGGAAUUAUUGGGCGUAAAGAGCUCGUAGGCGCUUGUCGCGUCGGGUGUGAAAGCUCACGGCUUAACCGUGAGUCUGCAUCCGAUACGGGCAGGCUAGAGGCAGGUAGGGGAGAACGGAAUUCCCGGUGUAGCGGUGAAAUGCGCAGAUAUCGGGAGGAACACCGGUGGCGAAGGCGGGUCUCUGGGCCGAUACUG
rnacentral:rRNA from 1 species